UGCUUAGAUGAUUCGCUUAUAUUCAUCGACAAACCUACUUAAUGUGUGACUUUAUAUAUGGUGUCCGACUGGAUAGAUAAACUACUAAAGGAUUCCACAAAUUUAAAUCAAGAGAUUUUGGCACAAUGGUUAUUCAAAUUGAUAUCUAUACUAGGGAGACUUCUGGGUGUUGGAAAAAUACCGAUUUUGUUGUAAAAUUCCCUAAUUUCCUUAACUUAGCCUCUCGUCUUUUCUUAACCUAUAUACUUUCUAAGUGAGCUAUUAGCCUAAGUCUUUGGAAAAAUUUUUAAUUUGGCUCAAGAAAAGGAAAAAUUUAGAAAAACCAAAGAAUAUACUAUAAAUUCAAUUUUUUUUUAUUAUGCGAAAGGAAAUAAAAAUUCAAAUAACUAAAAAUUAAAAGUAAAUAGAGAUAGUAGAAUACUCCCCUAAACUUAAAUCCAACUGUGUCCUCACUGUUGCGACUCAAGAGCAGAAUUGGAGCGUAAAACCUGUGAUAGAUCAUGGGGGAGGCUGUUGAUAAUUUUGGAAAUUGUUGAACUGAAGUCUCAAACCGCCUAGCUCUUGUAUGACAUUGUCGAGCUGUUGUUGACGGUGCUCUUCUGAGCUCUCCCAUCUAUGAUAAUAGCCAUGCAUCUCGUGUUGGUUUUGAAAAAUUUGGUUUUGCUGGGCUUGCAUGAAUGUCAUUUGUUCCAUCAUCUCCUCUUGUUGUUGAUGCAUGACAUAAAAUAAUCCAUCGCGCUCUUGAUUUAGUGCAUUUUGGGCACGUAUCUCAUGGAGUACAUCAUGGAUAGUGCUUUGCCUUGAUGAGGAGGAACUACCUGCAAAAGUGUUAGAAAAAUGUGUAGUGUGUGCA
rnacentral:lncRNA from 1 species